AACAAAGGAGGGAACACCCACCCCCAAACCUCGACAAGACCAAGCAACUGAACCUGCUAAAAGAUACACCAUCAUCAGGGAUGCAUAAAAACUCAGGUGGCAAAGCAUCCACCCAGCCAACAAACCAAGGCGGCAAAACAUCCGCCCGGGACGAUCAACAACCGGAGCAACGACGGCGGCAAAGCAUCCUCAAUCAGAUUUCUCUAGCCCUUUUGGUGCUUGUCUGUGCUGCACCAGAUUCCAUUGCUCUGUUUGAGAUUGCUUGAUCGACAAGAAUAUAAGGUUCCCAACAUCAUUCUUUACUUCAUUCCAGCUUUGCCUGGAGCCGAAUACAUCAAAAAACUAGAAUGGCUAGAACAAUGGACAUGGAACAAACAAGAGCCGAGAGAAAGGUAACGCUAGAUACAAAUCCUAUAUGGGCUUCAUCUCCGCAGGGUAUCCGCCACGCAGCUUUCUCCACGGGCGCGGCUUCGAGAUCCUUAAGCACCCACAAACAGGAACCGGAACUGAUUUCCUUUUUUCUGUAGCGCAGGAGCAAAUCUGGGCUACCAAACUCAACCGUUGCAUGCCCACUGGCAUCAAGAGGCUGCAAUUGAACAUCAAAGUGAGUAGUCAACCAAAAGUUUCUUCAGUGACAAUUGAUUGUGCUAAAUACGCCUGUGAGGAGUUGAACAUGAUAAAGAAGGAAAUGUAUUUUAAAUUUCAGAACACCAUGUGCAUUUCAGGCAUGUUUGCAGCAUCACAGAACAUGUAAACCACAACUAUAUGACAAUAGUUAUUUUUAGUUUGUUACUCGUACAAAUCAUCCAGUUCUGAUUUCCUGUCUCCCGGCUGACUACAAAGCUGAAGUUAUUUUUCCAGGACCUAGUCCAUCAGAAUU